rnacentral:tRNA from 1 species
CAAGACGUAGCUAUAACACAAAGCAUUCAGCUUACGCCUGAAAGAUGCCUAUCGCCAAGGCCGCCUUGA